rnacentral:rRNA from 1 species
CACGUAGGGGGCAAGCGUUGUCCGGAUUUAUUGGGCGUAAAGAGCUCGUAGGCGGCUCGGUAAGUCAGGUGUCAAAUCCUCAGGCUCAACCUGGGGCACCACCUGAUACUGCUGUGGCUAGAGUCCGGUAGGGGAGCGUGGAAUUCCUGGUGUAGCGGUGAAAUGCGCAGAUAUCAGGAGGAACACCGGUGGCGAAGGCGGCAUCCUGGACCAAUUCUGACGCUGAGGAGCGAAAGCCAGGGGAGCAAACGGG